CAACUUUUGACAACGGAUCUCUUGGCUCUCGCAACGAUGAAGAACGCAGCGAAUUGCGAUAAGCAAUGUGAAUUGCAGAAUUCAGUGAAUCAUCAAAUCUUUGAACGCACAUUGCGCUCCUUGGUAUUCCGAGGAGCAUGCCUGUUUGAGAAUCGAUAAACACA
rnacentral:rRNA from 1 species